CCUUACCUGGCCUUGACAUACUAAGAACUUUCCAGAGAUGGAUUGGUGCCUUCGGGAACUUUAGAUACAGGUGCUGCAUGGCUGUCGUCAGCUCGUGUCGUGAGAUGUUGGGUUAAGUCCCGCAACGAGCGCAACCCUUUUCCUUAUUUGCCAGCGGGUUAAGCCGGGAACUUUAAGGAUACUGCCAGUGACAAACUGGAGGAAGGCGGGGACGACGUCAAGUCAUCAUGGCCCUUACGGCCAGGGCUACACACGUGCUACAAUGGUCGGUACAAAGGGUUGCUACCUCGCGAGAGGAUGCUAAUCUCAAAAAGCCGAUCGUAGUCCGGAUCGCAGUCUGCAACUCGACUGCGUGAAGUCGGAAUCGCUAGUAAUCGCGGAUCAGAAUGCCGCGGUGAAUACGUUCCCGGGCCUUGUACACACCGCCCGUCACACCAUGGGAGUUUGUUGCACCAGAAGUAGGUAGUCUAACCGCAAGGAGGACGCUUACCACGGUGUGGCCGAUGACUGGGGUGAAGUCGUAACAAGGUAGGCGUAGAUGA
rnacentral:rRNA from 1 species